rnacentral:rRNA from 1 species
AGAGUUUGAUCCUGGCUCAGGAUGAACGCUAGCUACAGGCUUAACACAUGCAAGUCGAGGGGAAACGACAUCGAAAGCUUGCUUUUGAUGGGCGUCGACCGGCGCACGGGUGAGUAACGCGUAUCCAACCUGCCCACCACUUGGGGAUAACCUUGCGAAAGUAAGACUAAUACCCAAUGACGUCUCUAGAAGACAUCUGAAAGAGAUUAAAGAUUUAUCGGUGAUGGAUGGGGAUGCGUCUGAUUAGCUUGGUUGGCGGGGUAACGGCCCACCAAGGCUACGAUCAGUAGGGGUUCUGAGAGGAAGGUCCCCCCANAUUGGAACUGAGACACGGUCCAAAUCCUACGGGAGGCA